rnacentral:tRNA from 1 species
GGGCCUGUAGCUCAGUUGGUUAGAGCGCGACACUGAUAAUGUCGAGGUCUCAGGUUCGAAUCCUGACAGGCCCA